rnacentral:rRNA from 1 species
AGUGAACGCUGGCGGUAGGCCUAACACAUGCAAGUCGAACGGCAGCACAGUAAGAGCUUGCUCUUACGGGUGGCGAGUGGCGGACGGGUGAGGAAUACAUCGGAAUCUACUUUUUCGUGGGGGAUAACGUAGGGAAACUUACGCUAAUACCGCAUACGACCUACGGGUGAAAGCAGGGGAUCUUCGGACCUUGCGCGAUUGAAUGAGCCGAUGUCGGAUUAGCUAGUUGGCGGGGUAAAGGCCCACCAAGGCGACGAUCCGUAGCUGGUCUGAGAGGAUGAUCAGCCACACUGGAACUGAGACACGGUCCAGACUCCUACGGGAGGCAGCAGUGGGGAAUAUUGGACAAUGGGCGCAAGCCUGAUCCAGCCAUACCGCGUGGGUGAAGAAGGCCUUCGGGCUGUAAAGCCCUUUUGUUGGGAAAGAAAAGCAGCAGGUUAAUACCCCGCUGUUCUGACGGUACCCACAGAAUAAGCACCGGCUAACUUCGUG